rnacentral:rRNA from 1 species
GUAGGGUGCGAGCGUUAAUCGGAAUUACUGGGCGUAAAGCGUGCGCAGGCGGUUGUGUAAGUCAGAUGUGAAAUCCCCGGGCUCAACCUGGGAACUGCAUUUGAGACUGCACGGCUAGAGUGUGGCAGAGGGGGGUGGAAUUCCACGUGUAGCAGUGAAAUGCGUAGAGAUGUGGAGGAACACCGAUGGCGAAGGCAGCCCCCUGGGCCAAUACUGACGCUCAUGCACGAAAGCGUGGGGAGCAAAC